AGCAGCCUCAGUUUGUCCUGCACCAGCGAUGUAAACACAUCAAGAUGACGCUGGACGACCCCAGUCCUCACUCUUUCUUCAGUAAGAGUGUCCUGCAGCUGGCCAGGACUCUCGCCAAGAUCCAUCCUACCCCCCAUGAGCAGGUAUGCCAGUUGCUGAACGUUUCAGUUUUCUUCUGACAACAUUGCUAACUGAUGUUGCAGCCAACAGUGAAAAUGUGAGAGAGGAAAUUAUUGCCACCCAAGUGGAAGUACUUUCAACAUUAACAAAUAUAAUUACAAGAGCAGUACGUGAUGAUCAACUGCGGUCCAGUAAUGGAAAAAUUUCUCUGUGUCGUGGGACAGUACCUGUGUUGCUGGGUUUGGCUCGGGCCCUUGGCCGCUCCACAUCUGGGGACCCUCUUUUCCUGCAGAUUUUUCCAGAGCCAGUCAUCCCAACUCCAAUUGCUGCUGAGCCUCCACAAAUGGCAAAAAAGAAGAGUUUCAUAAAUUUUCGUCCCAUCAUUCCAAGGUCACUGUCCUCCACGCUAC